AAGCCUGAUCCAGCAAUGCCGCGUGCAGGACGAAGGCCUUCGGGUUGUAAACUGCUUUUGUACAGAACGAAAAGUUUCGGGUUAAUACCCUGGAGCCAUGACGGUACUGUAAGAAUAAGCACCGGCUAACUACGUGCCAGCAGCCGCGGUAAUACGUAGGGUGCAAGCGUUAAUCGGAAUUACUGGGCGUAAAGCGUGCGCAGGCGGCUAUGCAAGACUGAUGUGAAAUCCCCGGGCUCAACCUGGGAACUGCAUUAGUGACUGCAUAGCUGGAGUGCGGCAGAGGGGGAUGGAAUUCCGCGUGUAGCAGUGAAAUGCGUAGAUAUGCGGAGGAACACCGAUGGCGAAGGCAAUCCCCUGGGCCUGCACUGACGCUCAUGCACGAAAGCGUGGGGAGCAAACAGGAUUAGAUACCCUGGUAGUCCACGCCCUAAACGAUGUCAACUGGUUGUUGGGAAUUUAUUUUCUCAGUAACGAAGCUAACGCGUGAAGUUGACCGCCUGGGGAGUACGGUCGCAAGACUAAAACUCAAAG
rnacentral:rRNA from 1 species